rnacentral:rRNA from 1 species
AGUGAACGCUGGCGGUAUGCCUAACACAUGCAAGUCGAACGGCAGCACAGUAAGAGCUUGCGCUUACGGGUGGCGAGUGGCGGACGGGUGAGGAAGACAUCCGAAUCUACUUUUUCGUGGGGGAUAACGUAGGGAAACUUACUCUAAUACCGCAUACGACCUACGGGUGAAAGCAGGGGAUCUUCUGACCUUGCGCGAUUGAAUGAGCCGAUGUCGGAUUAGCUAGUUGGCGGGGUAAAGGCCCACCAAGGCGACGAUCCGUAGCUGGUCUGAGAGGAUGAUCAGCCACACUGGAACUGAGACACGGUCCAGACUCCUACGGGAGGCAGCAGUGGGGAAUAUUGGACAAUGGGCGAAAGCCUGAUCCAGCCAUACCGCGUGGGUGAAGAAGGCCUUCGGGUUGUAAAGCCCUUUUGUUGGGAAAGAAAAGCAGCAGGUUAAUACCCCGCUGUUCUGACGGUACCCAAAGAAUAAGCACCGGCUAACUUCGUG